CGCCUCGCCUGGAAACCGCGGGGGGCGUCCGGUGCGCAGUGCCCGUUUCUGUGCAGGAGCCGCGUGGCGAAGGGACACGGAACACCUGCAGCAGGUGCUCCACCCCAGGACGCCAGGAAGGGCGAUGCGAAGAACCUUCGGUUGCACCUCCUGCUUGUCAACUGAGAGCCUGAAAGCCGAGCUCAGUUUCCCUUCUCCCCUCCUCUUCCCGGUUUCUACCUUAGGGGGUAACCAAGAGGAUUGUAUGAGGGGAACUAUAUUUGUGGAACUAUAUUUGAACUAUAUUUGUGGAAGUUUGGAAGGAUGGAUAAAAGAAAAAGAAAGUGGACUGCAAACCACUACCAAGUGUAUGCUAAAUACCAAAAAAUUCGUUCUUGAGAGAGAGGCAGAGACACAGGCAGAGGGAGAAGCAGGCCCCAUACAGGGAGCCCGACGUG